AGAUCAGGUUCUCCUGGACACUGUGCCAAGUAUGGUAGCUACUCCUUGAUUGAGGAUCGAAUUAACAAAGUUUUGGAUGUUCAGCUUGUCCAAAGCUCAGAAGUCCCAAGCAGCUCUUGGUGUGAGCUAGAGGGUCUAAAGCGGAGUAUGCAGUUCCUGAUGGACCAAGACAUGCAAGUGUCUGCUCUGAUAACAGACAGAAAUCGGCAGGUGGCCAAGUGGGUACGUGAGAAAAUGUGUUCAGAAGGAACAAAGCAUUUCUUUGACGUCUGGCAUAUUGGGAAAAGUGUACAGAAAGCACUGGAUGCUGCUGCAAAAGAGAGG